UAAAUUAUAGCUUAAUAAAGUUUUUCAUUUACAUUGAAAAGAUAUUGAAUUUAUCAAUUAAUUUAA
rnacentral:tRNA from 1 species